ACUCAAAGGAAUUGACGGGGACCCGCACAAGCGGUGGAGCGUGUUGUUUAAUUCGAUGGUAAGCGAAGAACCUUACCAAGGCUUGACUUCCUUGGAAGUCCUCCGAAAGGAGGAUGUGCCUUCGGGAACCAAGUGACAGGUGUUGCAUGGCCGUCUUCAGCUCGUGUCGUGAGAUGUUUGGUUAAGUCCAUCAACGAGCGCAACCCUUAUAGUUAGUUGAAUUUCUCUAGCUAGACUGCCCUGGUAACAGGGAGGAAGGAGGGGAUGAUGUCAGGUCAGUAUUACCCUUAUGCCUUGGGCUACAAACACGCUACAAUGGCCAGUACAGAGGGCAGCCAAGUCGCGAGACGGAGCAAAUCCCAUCAAAGCUGGUCUCAGUUCGGAUAGCAGGCUGAAACUCGCCUGCUUGAAGCUGGAAUCGCUAGUAACGGUAAGUCAGCACAUUACCGUGAAUACGUUCCCGGGUCUUGUACACACCGCCCGU
rnacentral:rRNA from 1 species